GACAGAGGGUGCAAACGUUGUUCGGAAUUACUGGGCGUAAAGCGCAUGUAGGCGGUUCGUAAAGUCAGAUGUGAAAGCCCAAGGCUCAACCUUGGAAUUGCCUUUGAUACUGAGGGCCUUGAGACCGGAAGAGGUCGGCGGAACUGCGAGUGUAGAGGUGAAAUUCGUAGAUAUUCGCAAGAACACCAGUGGCGAAGGCGGCCGACGGGUCCGGUUCUGACGCUGAGGCGCGAAAGCGUGGGGAGCAAACAGG
rnacentral:rRNA from 1 species